rnacentral:tRNA from 1 species
GGAAGGUUGCCAGAGCGGACGAAUGGGGCGGCCUCGAAAGCCGUUGUGGCGCUUCGCGUCACCGUGGGUUCGAAUCCCACACCUUCCGCCA